rnacentral:rRNA from 1 species
GACGAACGCUGGCGGCGUGCUUAAUACAUGCAAGUCGAACGGAAAGGCGCUGCUUUUGUGGGGCGCUCGAGUGGCGAACGGGUGAGUAACACGUGAGUAACCCGCCCCUGACUUUGGGAUAACUUUAGGAAACUGGGGCUCAUACCGGAUAUGAGCUCUUGCUGCACGGUGGUGGAUGGAAAGAUUCGGCGGUGGUGGAUGGACUCGCUGCUUAUCCGCUUGUUGGGGUGGUAGGUGCUUACAAAGGCUUCGACGGGUAGCCGGCCUUAGAGGGUUACCGGCCACAUUGGGACUGAGAUACGGCCCAGACUCCUACGGGAGGCAGCAGUGGAGAGUAUUGCACAAUGGGCGGAAGCCUGAUGCAGCAACGCCGCGUGCGGGAUGACGGCCUACGAGUUGUAAACCGAUUUCGACUGUGACGAAGCGUGAGUGACGGUAAUGGGUAAAGAAGCACCGGCUAACUACGUG